rnacentral:rRNA from 1 species
UACGUAGGGGGCAAGCGUUGUCCGGAAUUAUUGGGCGUAAAGCGCGUGUAGGCGGCUCGGUAAGUCUGCUGUGAAAGUCCAGGGCUCAACCCUGGAAUGCCGGUGGAUACUGUCGAGCUCGAGUCCGGAAGAGGCGAGUGGAAUUCCUGGUGUAGCGGUGAAAUGCGCAGAUAUCAGGAGGAACACCAAUGGCGAAGGCAGCUCGCUGGGACGGUACUGACGCUGAGACGCAAAAGCGUGGGGAGCAAACAGG